UCUCCGUUGGUGAACCAGCGGAGGGAUCAUUACUGAGUUUACGCUCUAUAACCCUUUGUGAACCAAACUUGUUGCUUCGGGGGCGACCCUGCCGACGACUUCGUCGCCGGGCGCCCCCGGAGGUCUUCUAAACACUGCAUCUUUGCGUCGGAGUUUAAAACAAAUUAAACAAAACUUUCAACAACGGAUCUCUUGGUUCUGGCAUCGAUGAAGAACGCAGC
rnacentral:misc_RNA from 1 species